UAAUGGUCAUAGCAGUAAAGUUUCGAUUUCGAUUAUUACAUUGUAUGUUGUUGUUUGCUGUAGGGGUCUUAAAAGGACGUAGAAUUGAUGCAUGAAGGAUUGUGUUGUAUUUAAAACUUUCUUUACCAGUGUCAAAAUACGUUUGUUUUAAUCCAACUUUACUCGAUGUUGGUAGUUUUAAAAUUUUAUUGUUCCUUUUCAUGAAGUGGUCCAGGUGUUAGUAUCCUCAUUCUUGGGAAUUUUCACUGGUUCACCUUCUUUUAGCUUCAAAAGAGACUUGAAAGGGGUUAGAAUCGAGGUUAGAAUCAGUUUUGCAAAGUAAUCCAUCUUUUCCUUGAUGUCGGCCGAUUUGAAUUUUUCUUUAGCUUCUUUUGAAACUGGAAAGGAGAGUGCAAGAAGUGAGAUUGGAACAAGUGUUGUUAACAAACCAAUUCAUGUGCUUGUUAAGGUUUAACGAGAUUGUAUGUGUCUUGACUAAUUUUAUUGGUACAUCGUUUUACAUCAUCCUUUUAUGGCAAUAUUGUUUGGACAAACUUUUAGCUAUGAACAAUUUCAUUGUUCGCUUAUUUGAGGUCUGUUCAUGGUUAAAGAUUUGGAUACCUUCCAAAUGAUUUAGUGGACUUUUCUCCUUUUCAAUGUUUUAAGAGUGUUGUCAGUAACUUUUUGGGUGUUGAAUACAAAUGAGCACCUGAGUAAGGAUUGAGAACAUUUUAAGUGAUUCAGUCCUAAUUGAAAGAGCUCCUCGAUGUCUAACUUAAAUUACUUAAGGAAUGAAUGUCGAGUCUAUGUUUGGUAAAAUGGGUAUUUAUUCUUUAUCAUGUGAGGUCAGUUGUCAAUCCCUUAGUAGAUUGUGGUACCAUUAUGAGAUAGCAAUAGUAUUACUGUGAUUGUAUUGUAGUUUGUUAGAUAAAAACCGUAGCUUUGUAACCCGUUCAGUUUAAUUCAGCUAUAAUUUUUCUUUUUGCUUUGCAACUCCAUGCUUCAUUCUUCCUUUGAAAAGCUGUGAUAUUGUGAUGCUUCUAGACCAGACUUUUGUUCUGAUGGAGUAUGGUGUGUGCUAUUAUAUUGAUUGCAUGACCCUUCCAUAUUUGAAUUACUAUCUUCCAGUUCAUUUGAGUUACUAAAGUUGACUGUUUGUUUAUCAAUUUAUUAUAUUAUUUAUCCAUGUAGCAUUUUGUGUUUUGGAUGUGUAUUAAUUUCAUUUCUCUUUCUUCUUUUGCAUGACAAUUCAUUGGAGUCCAAACGAACUUUUUGCAUUCUCUAACGGGCCAACGAGGCUUAUCCUUUCGAGUCAAGCCCUAAAGAAAGAC
rnacentral:lncRNA from 1 species